CCAUAUGUGACAAACACAUAGCCAAUAUCAUCCAGUGCCUGCCUCGAAAGCACAAGGACCCGAGUUCGAUCCCUGGUACCAAAAAAAAAAAAAAAAAAAGACACUCAUGUAAAGAGCAGAAAUACCCACAUACUAAGACACACACUCACCAACAGAUCCUGCACCUCAAAAAUUGGGAUGUAUACCCACAAAGCAAAACAGACUUCCUAUGCUCGACAAGCAAGCGGGAGAUUUUUCUGAUUUAUGGUGUGGAGGAUAGGACCAGGGUCUCACCUAUGCUAGUCAAGUGCUCGAUGGCUGGUCCACACUCCUAUGCCCAAAGAGAUUUUUUUUUUAAAAAUCAGAUACUAUGAUACACAUACACAAUAGAUCAGGGAUCUCAUAUCCUGCAAUGAAGACCAGUAGCAUGCAAGAGACCCCACAUUCUCAGAACUAUACUUAGAAAAAUGAAAGAUACUUAGCAUCUUGAAGUACAUAUCUACAAGGAGAUGAGAACACUCCAAUUCUGGGGUGUCUACCUCCAAAGAGAUCGGAGAUAUCUGCCCUGAGAUACACAUCCACAAAGAUCUCAUGAACCUCGUACCUUGCAAUAUAUAUAAAAUCUCACAACCCAUUAUAUAUGCAAGCAUACAAAUCAGAAAUUUCAUAUGCUUGCAAAUAACACCAAAAGCAUCGGAGAGCUGACAACGUGGGAUGUAUAUUCAUAAACAGCUCUGAGCCCUUACAUCCUAGGACAUGUAUUCAGAAGCAGAGCAGAAGCCAGAUGUGGUGGUACACACCUGUAAUCCUAGCACUUAGGAGGCUGAGGCAGGAGUAUGGCCUCAAGUUUAAGACUAGCCUGGGCUAUACAGUGAGUGAGUUCAAGGCUAGCCUAAACUGUAUAGUGAGACCCUGUCUCAAAAAUCCAAACAAAUGGGCUGGGGAUUUAGCUCAGUGGUGCUGCCGCCUGCCUCACAAACCCAAGGUCCAGAGUUCAAUCCCCGGUAACAAAAAAACGCCACACAAGAGACUCAUGUAAUGGUACAAGAUCCCAAUGAUGAAUGUAACUGUAUUUUAUACCUAAAAUGUACCAAUAAAGUUAAUGGGGGGCGGGGAGAACCAAGAUGCAUCAUGUAAAGGUACAUGUUCCCAAUGAGAAAUGUAAAUGUGUUGUAUACCUAAAAUGUACCAAUAAAAGAAUUUAAGUAAAAAAAAAAAAAAAACCCACAAAAAGCAAACAAACAAAAAGAACCAGAGCAGAG
rnacentral:lncRNA from 1 species